rnacentral:misc_RNA from 1 species
GGAUGCCAAAGAAAGCCAGAACUCCUGUUUUGAAGAUAAAGGUAAAGCUGCAAACCAUUGUGUCUUCCUCCAUUAACUAAUACCUCAUGUAAUUCUUCUCCUGCCACUUGCUGUCCAUUACGCGAAUAAUGUGUGGACUUCAAACUUGGCCCUGUAAAUGUAUCCUCUUAAAAGUUAUAUUCAUAAACCUUCUUGAAUCACAAAGUGGCAUGCAAAUGCAAAUGCAAAUGCAAUUUACUUGACCUGAGCAUGCAAAAAUAAAAUUUGACAUGACACUUGCACCAUAAGAAGUCUUCGAAUAUGAAUCCUAUGUUUAGUAACUUAUGAACAUCUAUUAACUUCCAAAGCAAGCACCCCUGCUCCUGCUCUCCUUGUCCAUUGAAAGCAAAUCAGCAGCAAAAGCUGAUGACUAACAAAACCUUAGAAUACCUAUUUCCAACAUGAAUACACAGAGAGAGUCAAAUCAUACAGAAAACAGCCUUGGCUCCUAAUAUUGAAAAAAAAAACUUAAAUAUGAUUAAUUUAAUAACAUAUUUUAAAUAUUUUAAUAAUCAUCUUUUUCUAAAUUGUUUUUUUACCAAUAUUUAAAAUAAUAAUUUAA